AUACGUAGGGAGCAAGCGUUGUUCGGAAUCACUGGGCAUAAAGAGCACGUAGGCGGCUCGGUAAGUCAGAUGUGAAAGCCCCUGGCUCAACCAGGGAAUUGCAUUUGAAACUACCGGACUUGAGGGCGGCAGAGGAGAGUGGAACUCGUGGUGGAGCGGUGAAAUGCGUAGAUAUCACGAGGAACACCGGUGGCGAAAGCGACUCUCUGGGCCGUUCCUGACGCUGAGGUGCGAAAGCCAGGGGAGCGAACGGGAUUAGAAACCCCAGUAGUCC
rnacentral:rRNA from 1 species